UUGUUUUGUUUUCAGUGCCUGAAAGAUCCUGAAGGCGUUCACUGAAGGUUCAGAAAUUCAUUGCCAAUCUGCAGACUUUCAGUGUCUCGAUACAGUGAUGGAUGAGGCAUCCUUAACCCAUCAAACCAUUCGUUAACAACACAUCUCAGUAGUUGGAGAACUACUGUGAAAACAUUAAAUGUAUUGAAAUUUGGUGAUCGAGCCACAAUCCGAGGCAUCAGGACUAUACGUGGAGAGCUUCUUAUUCUACAAUCUGCCAUGAGCAAACCCAAGUUCAAGAAUUCUCAGCAUGGAGGAAAGAGGCCAGAGUUCAGCUUGC